GGCAACCGAGGGGCGUGAUGAAGUGUUUCACCGUGCGAGCCAACGCCAGCGGUUUAUCGCUCAGAAUGGAGAUUAAAAAUUAGGGUAGGUGGGUGUGUGUGUGUGUGUGUGUGUGUCGGGGUGUGUGUGUGUGUGUUGGGCGAGGGGCGAGGGGUGGGGGUACGGGGCGAGAAUAGCGCGCGCGUCAAGCUGUGCCGGUCAGUGUCUUACACACACAUUUCUAUAGCGUCUUUCACGCGCGCGCGCACGUGCACGCACACACAAGGGUCCACAGUGCCACGGGAGCCCACUCUACAGUGAGAGGGCUGAGUGUGUGUGUGUGUGUGUGUCUGUAAGUUAGUUUGGACCGGUUGGGGUUGGGGUGGGGGUCUUUGUUGGUGACCAUCUAUUGUGUCAUAUUUUCUAACCCUUGUCGGAGCCUUUGUCCGUGCAGCUGUGGGUUCCGACGAGAGACUACAAGUUUGUGUGUUCCUCUUGUUAUUUUCCUUGCAGCUCAGAGCAAUGACUUAAAUGCACUUUGCCAAACGUUCUACCAAGCAUCCCCUCACACCGGGCGAUAAAAAAACUUUAUUGGCAAGAUAGUUUUCACAACAGUAUACUAGUCUAAAAGUAAAGACACAAAUGUGUGUGCGCCACAUGCAGUGUGCCAAAUUGAACACGAGUGCACAGUUCACAGAGUGGUGCGAUAACUGAGAACGUGAAUACUGGUGCAAGGCAAUAUGUUCCUUUGUCUAUAUUGGUUUCGUUUCUUUAUCACUGCGGUUUUUGGAUGUCUAAAAUCUUCUUAUUUUAUUAUUGUAUCGUCAUGUGUAAUCCAUGUCUGGUUUAGUAUUGAGACCACUUUAUUCUGUUGACACUGUUGACAGUCGCUCAUCAUUCUUACCUCUGUGUCUCCGUUUUUGUAUUUCAGAUUUUGCAAACCCUGGUUUGAGGCUGACUACAAACACGACAUCACCUCCCGCCGUCAUCCACCAACGCCACCCCCUCCACCGCCACCCAACAAUCGCACCCAUUCCCUGGAGAGGAACCCCAUGCAGAAUGCACGCACAAGAAAUGAAUCGAAGGUCCAGACAUGAAAGAGUCGAGAGACACAGGCACACACACACGCAAACACGGGGUGCUGCGUCUGUCUGCGGUCUUCAACCAGCCUGCCAAAAGAUACACACACACACGCACACACAUUAAGGUGCAGCGUGGUGAACACCAGGUGCAAGAGGAAGGGACAUUCUUCUGCUUGCUCCAACACAUCUGAUGCUACCUGAUGUUUUAUGGUAUAGGUGGUAACCUGUUCUGUAUAUGUUUGAAUAAUGCUGUAGAAAUACAGGAAUAAAAAAAGAUAGUGCUGUAUCAGGGAGAGAGAGAGAGAGAGGGAGGGAGAGGGGGGGGAAAGAUAAAGCGAGGGAGAGAGAGAGAGAUAAAGCGAGGGAGAGAGAGAGAGAGAGAGCGAGAGACCCCUCAAACGGUGCGUGAGACCGGAGUGAGUCGCCUUGCCGAUGCGUCUCCGAGCAGACAUCUGUCAGAGCGGCUCGCCGUCAAGUCUGUGCUCGCCCCAGUAAACAUUCAACGCUGUCGGUGAGUUUGGGAUUAAAUUGGCACAAAACCAUCGACCGUUGAUUGUACCCUGUGGCCAGCCCUUGUCCCUCCAUGCUGUAAAAGGAGAAUGUGUGCUAGAAAUGCCUAUUCACUGGCCGCCCCCCCCUACUCCUGCACAACCAGCCUCGUGGAGCAGGAAAACCAACAUGGCUGCUGACCGGCUUUGCACAGUCGGAAACACACACCGCAUCCUCACUUUCGACCCGUGCUCCGCUAAGAUGUUAACGAACUAUAUAAAGAAAGGCUAGGUCCAGCCCCCAAACCACAACAAAGGUCACAAUCAACAUUCAUUGCUGUCGGUGGGUUUGGCUAUGAAGAAAAGCUCACUGAACGAUGAAUGCAACUGUGUCCUCGACCUCCUCGGACCGCCCGUCACUGUGAAUAGUGUCACCGUAUGCUGAUGAUGGUAUUUAUUUGCAUAUUAAAAAAAAGGAACGCAUCUUGAUCCUACUAGCUGGGAUAUUGGCAGGGGUAUAUAUUUUUAUUUUUUUUGCGUGUGUUUUAUGAUAGUGCAGACUUUUUUAUUCUGUUAUAUAUGUAGGUAUAAUAAAGUGUGUAAAGAAAUACUUUUUCUAUGACAAUCAGAAUACUAUAUUAAAUUAGUGAUCAUUGAAAAAGCUAAACAUAGCUUUUUCAAAAAGAUAUGAUUUGAAAUGGACCAUCAAGCUGGUAAGUAUAUUGGUUCAAUCAUUCUUUGAUUACUUCCAAUUCUUAGCAAUGUUUCUUUUCACUCAUCACACUAUCACCCCUGCAUUUCAACCCAUUCUGCAAUUUCAAAAAUAAAAAUAAUCUGACAAUUGAUGAUUAUGUGUGUUCUUAUUGUCGCUGGUUCACUUAUUCGGUGCACAUUCAGAAGCCAAACCAUCGAUUAAAAUCGUGAGGGGAUGAAUAAUGGGACUGAAUGUCUCUUUUCAGGAUGCCUGUGAGCUAUUCAAUUGGUAUCAC
rnacentral:lncRNA from 1 species